rnacentral:rRNA from 14 species
UAGGGGGAAGAGAUUCUUACCAAACCUAAUAAAACUCCGAAUGCUAAAUGUUGUUCUUCAGCAGACAGACUGUGGGUGCUAAGGUCCAUGGUCGAGAGGGAAAGAGCCCAGACCACCAGAUAAGGUCCCCAAAUUAUGAUUAAGUGUGAAAGGAUGUGGAAAUUCCUUAACAGCCGGGAGGUUGGCUUAGAAGCAGCCAUUCCUUUAAAGAGUGCGUAAUAGCUCACUGAUCAAGCGUUUUCGCGCCGAAAAUGACCGGAACUAAGUUUAUUGCCGAAGCUG